UGAUCCCUGGCUCAGGAUGAACGCUAGCUACAGGCUUAACACAUGCAAGUCGAGGGGGCAGCAUGGUCUUAGCUUGCUAAGCCGAUGGCGACCGGCGCACGGGUGAGUAACACGUAUCCAACCUGCCGUCUACUCUUGGACAGCCUUCUGAAAGGAAGAUUAAUACAAGAUGGCAUCAUGAGUUCACAUGUUCACAUGAUUAAAGGUAUUCCGGUAGACGAUGGGG
rnacentral:rRNA from 1 species